rnacentral:rRNA from 1 species
AUUGAACGCUGGCGGCAUGCCUUACACAUGCAAGUCGAACGGCAGCACGGGAGCUUGCUCCUGGUGGCGAGUGGCGAACGGGUGAGUAAUACAUCGGAACGUACCCCUGAAGUGGGGGGAUAACGUAGCGAAAGUUACGCUAAUACCGCAUAUUCUGUGAGCAGGAAAGAGGGGGGAUCGCAAGACCUCUUGCUUUUAGGAGCGGCCGAUGUCGGAUUAGCUAGUUGGUGAGGUAAAGGACUCACCAAGGCGACGAUCCGUAGCGGGUCUGAGAGGAUGAUCCGCCACACUGGGACUGAGACACGGCCCAGAACUCCCUACGGGAGGGCAGCAGUGGGGAAUUUUGGACAAUGGGCGCAAGCCUGAUCCAGCCAUGCCGCGUGAGUGAAGAAGGCCUUCGGGUUGUUAAA